rnacentral:lncRNA from 1 species
CUCCAAGCAUUUCCUGAGCUUCCUUCCAGGAUGAUGAUAUAAGCAUUUUUGCUAAAUUUAAGUUACUCGCAAGUCACACAAUCCAAUUAGAGAACAAAGCCUAUGCAAAAGAAGCCAUUAGUUUGCAAAGGGAUAAGGCAAAUGAUGAGGCCAUAUAAAAAUUGAGAAGGUCUGUGGAAAGGGGCUAGUGGAUGCCAGGACUCUUGUUUAUGAGGAAGACUCAACCUUAAUUAGUGUAAGGAAAAGAGUUUCUUUAGUUAAACUAUUAGAAGGGUGGGAGUAAAGUUGGCCUCAAGAAUGACUCUGUGUCUUAUCUAGCUUCUCUCUUCUCUCUGCUUCUCAGUUCUAUCCUCUUCUCCUGUAGUUGAUUUUCUCUACAAAGCAGAUUGACUUCCUUCAGUUAGUCUCUGGCAACUAGAAUGGGCUCAUCCACAUAGCACGUGACCAGGAAGGAAAAGGUUCGUCACAGCAGCUCCAGUUCACAAUUCUUAGGGAAGAGAUUGGCCCGUUGGCUAAUCACUGUGAUGAGGAGUGUGCAGAAGUUCCAUAUGCUUCCAGCUUAAUCGAGUAUCAUUCACUGUGGUCAUGGAGAUGGAAUCUUAUUAGAUCGCUUUGGUAACAGCUGAUGGGAGGCAGGAGGUGGGAAAAGAAGGAGUUCCCCAAAAAGGAGAAGAGAGCUGUUCCCAUAAAAAGAGAAGAGUGCAUCUAGGGGAAAUAUGAAUAUCUUCUGCUGGGAUAAAUGCUCUGCCACAUUCCUUGGGAUUCCAGGAUCAAUACAUAGAUUAACUAAAGUCACCUAUAACUUGAAAUGUGUGGCAAAGAGGACGGAGAAGAGGGAAAGAAAGGGACAUUAGAGACAGAGGAAGCAAGAAGGAAAACAAGAAACUGACCUUGGGCCUAGGAGGUUGAGUUGAAGCAUUACUAAUUACAUAGAAAGAUGUAUCUCAGAAAUGAGAUGUACCUAAGCAUGAAUUUGCCUGUCUCAAGAGGAUGCAACAUUUAUCAGAUCAUUAAUGACCAUGGUAUUUGCAUUUCAUUGUUUACCCAGAAAAAAAUAGUGCAAUAAAAGGAAUUUUAAAUGGAUAG